ensembl:lncRNA
AUGAUCAUGAUUGCCAAUAUGACCUGUGUCCCUGGAAACGACACCGCCUCAUGUUCUGCUCCCCGCAGCUCUCGUACCGAUCUAGCCGUUGGCCUGACGUUCUUCUUUGUACUGCUGCUGAUCGCAGCUGGUGUGAUCGUGUACAACUACCACAGUAAAAUGAGGAGUAUGUUUCAGUUUGGACAAAGGAGAAGCCACAAAGAACGGGACUAUACAGAGACGCUACCAGAAGAUUCGCCUCGCUACCGCUAUGUGAUCCGUGAAGCUUCAACCGGAGAGAACCCUAUUUAUGAAAACCUGGCGACUCGAACCAAAAGGCCCGCGGUGAACAAGCCACCCCGUGAAUCUGAAGAGGACGUGUACCUGCAGUGUGAUUCUCCAGAUGAGGCAAUAUACAGCAAUGACCCAGCGUGUAACCUCUCCAUCCUCCCAGACCAUGAAGAAGACCUGUACAUUAUGCCAGAUUCAUUGUAG